rnacentral:sRNA from 1 species
UAGGAAAGCGGACUGUGGUCCUAGACCG